rnacentral:lncRNA from 1 species
UCUCGCCACGAGUAUUUUCCUUUAAUUAACUUCAGUAGACGUUUGAUACCGGUUACACAAGCCGGACUCACACACUAUAUGUUAUGUCGCCUCUAGCACUUGUCUGGACACUGCUUAACUUCCGGGUUGUCUUGUGCUAUAAAUGUCUGAAGCCGGGUGGAUCAAUUUGGUGAGAGAAAUAUAUCCGAAAAGGUAAAAAAUGAAGAUCUCCGUGGCAUUGAUUAUCGCCCUUGUGUGCGUUGUUGGACUCGCACUUGGUGAUUAUGGAUACUCGUCGUAUUACCCUUCAUCCAGUGGAAGCGGGGGAUUCGGAAAUGGCGGAUUUCUCAUGUUGAUCGGAUUCCUGUUCAUCAUACUUCUGUUGUUUGGAACUAACACUCAGGAUACCAUCACCCUUGUGAACGUAACAACUAAAUAAACGGUAAACUAUGAAUCAGCAGCGAAGGAAACCAUCAUUGGAAUUAUCGUAUCAGUCAUCAGCAAGGUCUGUCAUGAUUUACAUGACAAUUUUACAAGAUCUACCAUGAUUUACAGGACAAUUUUACAUGAUCUACCAUGAUUUACAGGACAGAUUCCCAACAUCUAGCACGAUUUACAUGACAAAUUAACAAAACUUUUCUCAUCAUCGACAACAAGAAUGAAUGUUUGCUCGGGAAUAUGUGUUAUGUCUGGGAAAUGAAAGAUGGCUGUGUGUAUGCCCGCCAGUAGUAUUAAUACACUGCACUUUAUUCGUCAGAACUACAUGUAUAUUUAUUUAAAUGUAGUUUGAAACACAUCGUAAACUGAACAGCUGGUGUACAUUUUCUCGGAUAAAAGACCCAGUUAUUCUACAAAUACUUUUCUGCUGUUUCGGUGUGUGUUUUCGAUGUCAAUAGGGAGUGUUGCAUUGUCUUUGAAUAAUUAAUUUAAAUGACACCCAUAACCUUUUAAAAAACACAUGUCUUAAAGUAAUUUUGAAAUCAGUUGUGUUUAAACGUUUCUAAAGAUUUAUAUGUUAUAAUUAUCUGGUAAUAGAUAUUGUUGCUAAAAAAUUUAUUAUGGGAAAAUACUUUACUGUAAAUGUUAAUUUUAAUUUUUCAAAGGAUUCAAGUUUCCCUGUAAAGAUCCAGUUGUCCAGCUAAUGCGUACUUUUUAACAAAGUUUUGCAAGAACUGUUUCAAGUAAAUAUCCAUUUUUUUCUGACAAAGUUUACUUUCUUUAAGCAUUUUACAGUGUCUACUGAGAGUUUUACUCAAACAUUUGUUUUUAAAAGUUUUAAAUGGUAUCCGUAAUUCUAAAAGUCUUAAAAUACGGGACUUCCGUAAUCCUAUAGCAUCUCAUUCCGUUAUUCUAGACAGCUGCAUGGCAGAAGUGUUCCUGUUACUGUGCCAACAAGUUACGUAAGAAUCAGCAAUGAAUGUUAGUUUUGUUUUAAUCUAUUAUUUGAUUGGACUAAACUUAGAUAGUCUUUAAUGAAAGAUGCUUCUUGAAAAAGCCAUUAGUUAACCAUUUUAACAUACAUACUGACACAGAUAACGCUGAGAUAUUUGUGAAACGGUGCUCAAUAGAAAUGGGCGAGUCAUAAGAAGUAAAUUACAAACAUAUUGUUGUUUUUUUUUUUCAUGAAAUAGAACAAAUAUUUUUAAAUUUUAAAAAUCAUAUACCACUAUUGUUCACAUAUAGAGGUAAAUGAUAUCUCGUCCUAUUAUAGUUUACUGACUGCAAACACGUUCUCUUGAACAAGAACUCCAUAAAACACAUUUUCGUUGCUAACAAAUUUUGAAAACCGUUUUGAAUAAAAUUCGCGGCAUGUCCUGUUUAAGUAAUUUCAUCAUACGGACGACACCAGUUUAGAGACGGCGUAAAUAAUACUAAUGUAUAUUUUCUUAGACAUAUUUUCUUGAACAGAAUGUAAUAAAUAAAGGACUACCUGGUCCAAAAGUCAUACUUGAAAAUACGAACAGUUACGUAGACAUAAAAUUAACAAGUUUACGUGUGUUCACAGUACUAAAUGUUUUAGGUUAUAUAUAGUAUGCAUACAUAACUGAACACUUAUAAAUGUGUACCAACGCUAAGAGCAGAACUGAACACAGUAUAAAUGUGUACCAACGCUAAGAGCUGAACUGAACACAGUAUAAAUGUGUACCAACGCUAACAGCUAAAGUUUAAUUUACAAGCCUAUGUUACUGUACGAAAUUCAUUUAUGAAUAUAGCUCUAUAUAGAAAACUACUUCAUAUAUUAAUAAAGUUAAAUGUAUAUGACGAGUGUUUUCUACAGUUGAAAAAAAAAAUACCUAAAGAUAAAAUGAUUUAGCGGAUAUUCUUAACCUAUCAAUAUUUUGACAUAUCUCUGAGACAGCUGUGUACAUGUUUUAGGAAUUCAAAAUUUGCACGAAAAAUUGUUGUAAUGACCUUUUUUAUUCUUUUUAUUUUUUAUUAAAAAUACAAAUGGACAUUUUUUUUUUACAAUUUUGAAAAAUCAAAGUAAUUUUCACCUUGUAUAAAUUUAUUACCUCAGAAUAUAUCCAGUUCUAUUUUAUUAUUUUUUUCAGUAAUAAAACUAUUCUGUGAACAAUUAUAAUAAAGUAAAGCUGAACUUUAAUACACGAUAUAAAUAUUUAGAUGGCACAUUUAAAGUGCAUUUUUUGUAUAUUUUGACAGUUAAGCAUCAUCAAAAAUUUGGAAAUGCAGUAAAUUUAAAACAAAUACGGUGAACUAUAUUUCUAAUGAGUUGGUUCUGAUAUUCAUCAACGUUUAAAGUCAGAAACUUAUACUAGUACCCCUUACCCUGCUAAAUUUCUAUAACGAACUUGUCCAUCUUUCAAUCUGGAAAAUACCAUUAACUGUUUAAAGGGGUGUUUCCCAAAAAGAUACAAACUGAAUGGCGAACAGUGCAGAUCUUGAUCAGACUGCACGGACUACAGUCUGAUCAUGACUUACACUGGUCGCAAAGGCAGAGAAUCAAUCGUGUGCAGCAUGAUAAGGGUUAAGAACGGCAAAUAUUUCAAUUUGGCUUAAUUUUUACUAUAGCAUAUUCAUACUGUUGAAAUCUUUAUGCAGUUUUCUUGCAAUAUGUGACAAGGACAGAGUAAGAUGAGAAUUUAGCUAUACGGGCUCUACAUCUACUCAAACAAUUUCAAAGAAACGGAAAAAUCUAGAAAUCGUAUAAUGUUGUAAAGACCUAUUAAGCAAAAUUUACUACUGAAAAAUUAAGCAAAAAUUACUACUGAGACAAGCUUCUGACGUUUACGGUUUUUACAAUCAAGUGUCUUAUUUUUCAUGCAUGUACGAUCUGUGAUUAUUGAUUAGCCUAACGUAGAGAUUGUUUUGUCAUGUGUGGGUUUUGUUAUAAAUAUUUAAGUGAAUUCUGAAUGUUUUCGAAUAGUGUUAUUCUAUAUUAAUUCCCUAUAGUUUUUUUGCUAUAGGUCGCAUUUAUCUGCUGUUAAGUCGCCCUUCGGUUUAUGUGCUUGCCUGUUGUGAAAUUGUUAUGCUUUUGUUUGCCUGCUGUUGACUUGUUAUGCCUUUACUUUCAUGCUGUUAGAUUGUUAUGUCUAUGCUUGCCAGCUGUUGAACUGUUGAAUUGUUAUGCCUGUGCCUGCCUUGAACAGUAAAAUAUGCAUGUUUUGUACUGCGUGCAUGUCUGGUGUUAAAUUGUUAGUCUGUGCUUGUCUGCUGUUUCGUUUGCCUGCUGUUAAUGUUUUCAGAUGUAUAUGCUUCUAAUGUAUAUGGUUGUUGAGUGUACUUGAAUAAACUAU